CUAAUUGCUCAGCAAGAACCUGACACAGAAAGAAAUCAGAAAUAACAGUCAAAAUGAUGAAUGAAAAGAUAUGUAUACAAAAAGCAUGAAACUAUUUCUUGCCAGUGAAGUUCUUGCACUGAGUACGACUGUCAAGGCUACUGAUUUCACUGUUUAUGGACACAGAAUUCCAUCAUAAGUGGCAAGCAUAUUACAGGUUUUUUGCUGUGAACUAGGAGUCCCAUAGCAUGUGGAAAAGAUUCAGUAUUCAAAGGGAAGUCACCUGUAGCUCAUUAGCAAAUUCAUUGAAUUCUGAAGCCAACACUCAUGAAAAACAUCUUGUGCUCAUUCUUGGGAUAAUUUUGUUAUCCUUAUUAUUAUUAUUAUUUAUAUACAGAAUGCAUCUGGCAGCAUCUCUUUCAAUUUUGAAUGCAGAAUCUACCAAAUACAAGUGCAAGCAACCAUUAAAGAAGCGUUUCUGUGACUAAUAGGUAUUAAUGUCUUAAAAAUCUUAAAAAUUGCAUGAUGCCUGCUCCAAAAGUAAUGUGUCAAAUUUUUUAUAUUGGCCCAUGAGGUCAGAGGUGGAUGCUGGUUGAUGUGGCAGUAGAAGUUGAAUCUUCCCAUUACGUUUUUUUGCCAUAUAACAGAUGGUAGCAGAGCCUCUAACAAAAAGGCAUCUGACAUAGAAGGGGGGAUGAAACAAAGAUAAUUUCUUUUUCUUAAAAGUCCACAGCUGCUGUUACUUAUCUAUGUUGCAGUGUCUUGCAAUGGACUGCAUCCUUAGCAGAUGAUCAGCAUUGUAUCUGAGAACCCAUGGAAGAAGCCCAAUGCAUCCUUCCAAAGAGAGAGGUUUCUAAAAUGCCAAGUGUGUACAUCAGCAACAAACAGACAAACACUUCAGCUUUUCUUUGUCAAAAAAUGUGCAAAAAAAUACACCCAGAAGGUAAAAAAAAAGUGUAAAACUAGUUUCUAAACCCCAUUCAAAUCACUGUUUAUUGUUUUUCAAUUAUUAUCUAAGAAGAAAAUUCAAAAAUAAAUGACUUCCUACCAAGAUUUUUAAAGUUCAAUCAUUCUCACAUUUGUGAACAUACAUAUGUGUGUUUGUAUAGAUGUACAUAUAGAAAGUGGAUAUUAACUUGUUUCUUUCUUCCUUUUCAUAUUUUAGUCUUCAAAAUUUUCUUUUGUUCUCAAUGCAAAUGGUCAUUGGUUCAUCUUCUCUCACCCAGGACAGUUAUGUCACAUCACUUGACUAAUAAGCAUGCAUUUGCCACUAAAAGACAUUUUAACUGAGAGCUGUCACAUCCAUCAUCUCCACUCGGGCUGGUUAAAAUUUUUAUCUGCCUUCUUGAAUUAAUUUCAGCUUGCCUGAGCCCAGCAGGGGACUUUAGAGUGGUUUAGUUAAAUUCUUCAUUUCAAAAAAGCAUUUAGAGUCCUUCUAUUUAGAUUUUUCUCUUGCAUCUAAUUUUUGUUUCACAUUACUGAAACAAAGAGGUAAUUAUACAUCCAUUGAAGGGGGGGGGGGGAGGAGAAACAGGGCUUGGGGGAGGAAGCAGACAGAUGAGAGAGAAAAAAAAAAUUAUACAAUUUUGACAUUUUUCCUGGGAAAGCACUUUCUCUUUGCUGUUUUUCAUAUGGUUCUCUGUUAUUUCUCAAAUUAUCUAUAACCAUAGUUAGAAGUGUUUAAGCUAAAAUGAAAACGUACACAAAAUGUAAAGUAAAAAUGAGAAAACAUGAGUUGACAGUCGAAACAAGAUGAGAAGGGGAGAAAGAUGUUAGAAAUGAAAGAUCUGUCACCAAAAUAUACAGAUCAUGUCUGUUACAAAGCUGAAUGAAACCAAGCCUAUAAACUAUCCUCCUUAAAGCACUCUUUCAACAUUUUUUUUUUCAGGCAGUAAACACAUAGGUGAUGAAAUUCAAGCUGUGAAGAGGAUAAGAGGGAUGUUAGAAGCUGAGUAACUGUAGUAAAGGGCCUCAAUCCACAUGGAUGUAUAAACCUUGUGGCUAGUAUUGGUCUCGUGAUAAAUUUUCUGUCUUUCAUUAGAGGCCAUCAAAGUAUUUCUGUAUAUUUUGAACAUAUUAAUGCAUAUUAGAAAUGCUCAAUAAGCACAGGAAAAGUAAUCCAAAAACAUUAUAGCUAAUCUAUGCUAAAAUACUACUAUCCAUCUGUACAUAAAUAUUCACAAAAUGUGUAAAAUUCAAAGUAUCCAACUGUACCAUCAUAACUUGAAACAUGAUUUUGUCUUUGAACUCUUAAACGUAUUACCUUUCAUAAUUCUGUUCCUAAAGCAAGGGAACAAAUAGGACAGGGACAUAGGGAUGCUUCUCCAAUUCUGAAACCUAUUGAAUGUGAACUGUAUUUAGGCUCGAGGAGACUCUUCAUAAAUAACCUCUCUGCAACAGUUCCUGCAGUCUGUGUCAUAUCAGUAAUACCCAAGAAAACAUACAUAAAGGCCUCUACUAACUAUUUUACUAUCUACAGAUCUAUUGUGAAGAUGGCAUGUUAGCUCUGGAAAUUUUAAACCUGUCAGGAUUUAGAAGUUGUAUGAACAAGGGAACUAAGUGGUAUUGCAUGUCCCACUAGGAAGGGAUGAGUUCCCACUGUUACCACUGAAUUCAAUGGAACUUCUGCACCUGCUGCUUAAGAGUUAAUUACAUUGCUUCUCCUUAGGUAUAGAGUCAAUUUGAUCAAAAGUGCUUUAAAAUAAAAAGCUUCUUCUAAAAAAGACAUCACAGUAAAAGAAUUAGCACGAGGAAACAACAACAAAAAAAAAAAUUGUAAAAAUUGUAUUAAGUAAUGAUAGAAAAAAUCUGAAUAUUUUUGAGCUCAAAAAAACAGUCAAAUAAAAAAGAAAUAUUUUUAAGCUCUCAGGCCUUAAAUUUAUCAGUCUAAGCACCUGGCAACUUUGAAAAUAGUAUUAUAAAUAUUUAUUUAAUUGUCAUUAAAAUCCAUUGUUGAAAUUAAAUUAGUUGUGCAAGGAUCUGAAGAUGCAUUGCCUUCUACCCAAAUCCUGAAACUCUGUAUGCAAUUUUCAAAAUGUUCAGUUGUUGAGUCUGUGUGAGGUACAGAAAGACAACAGCUCUACUGCUGGACAACAAGUAUGAGGAAGAUUCUUUCUGGAAUUCAUUACACAUAUUGAAUUGCAAAUGCUAUUGUCCUUGCUAUAGGACUGACCAUAUCUUUUCUAACAUAGUUGAAUGUGCAAAAUAAACCAAAGGAUUGUG